CCUACGGGUGGCUGCAGUGGGGAAUAUUGGACAAUGGGCGAAAGCCUGAUCCAGCCAUGCCGCGUGUGUGAAGAAGGCCUUCGGGUUGUAAAGCACUUUCAGUGGGGAAGAAAGCCUUGGGGCUAAUACCCUCGAGGAAGGACAUCACCCACAGAAGAAGCACCGGCUAACUCCGUGCCAGCAGCCGCGGUAAUACGGAGGGUGCGAGCGUUAAUCGGAAUUACUGGGCGUAAAGCGCGCGUAGGCGGUCUGAUAAGCCGGUUGUGAAAGCCCCGGGCUCAACCUGGGAACGGCAUCCGGAACUGUCAGGCUAGAGUGCAGGAGAGGAAGGUAGAAUUCCCGGUGUAGCGGUGAAAUGCGUAGAGAUCGGGAGGAAUACCAGUGGCGAAGGCAGGCUUCUGGACUGACACUGACGCUGAGGUGCGAAAGCGUGGGUAGCGAACAGGAUUAGAUACCCCAGUAGUC
rnacentral:rRNA from 1 species